CCCUGCUUUUCUUUCAGGAUCCUUUCGGUGAAAAGCGAGGCCACUUUGACUACCAGUCCCUGCUGGUGCGUUUGCAGGGGAUCCGGCAGAAGGUGCAGGAGAAGCACCAGCAGGAGCCCCCGGAGCUGGACUCUGAGAGCAGCUCCUCCGAGACAGAGACGGACCCGCAGGGCUGCUCCAAAGCUUAGAGCGGGGGCUGCUCUGCCCACAGCCCCGACAGACUCCACACCCCCCCACUGCCAGAGCAGGAACACGGGGACCCCCUGCCUCCCUCCCUGCUCUGGGGAAACGCUGACUGAGGGGACUCCACGCUCGCCCAAGCCCAGCUGGUGCCAGGCUCCUCCCGAAGUUUGUUUUGGCAGAAUGGAGCCUGUGGUGAUUCCUUAGAGGAACAACAACCAACCAACCAACAACUCCUUCCCAGAGCAGAGCUACACAAGAGCUUCCCCACUUCUUUAGCCAGAAUCCCAUUUGCAUCCUUUAAGACUCCAGAUAAUUUUCCUCUUGCUGUGACAUUUAGUUUCCAGUAGCAAGUGGCAUUUCCACCCCCAGCCAGGGAGCAAAUCCAGAGGUGAUAUGCAAAGAACCUCCCGAGGAUUCUAGACAGGCACAGAACAGGGAGCAGUCAAGGAAUUGCCUCCUUGGCUUCCUCUGGAGUGAUUUCCUGAGAGUACAGCUCUGUAAAGAGA